rnacentral:rRNA from 1 species
AUUGAACGCUGGCGGCAUGCCUUACACAUGCAAGUCGAACGGCAGCGCGGGUGCUUGCACCUGGUGGCGAGUGGCGAACGGGCGAGUAAUACAUCGGAACGUACCUUAUCGUGGGGGAUAACGCAGCGAAAGCUGUGCUAAUACCGCAUACGCCCUGAGGGGGAAAGCGGGGGAUCGAAAGACCUCGCGCGAUUAGAGCGGCCGAUGCCUGAUUAGCUUGUUGGUGGGGUAAAAGCCCACCAAGGCGACGAUCAGUAGCUGGUCUGAGAGGACGAUCAGCCACACUGGGACUGAGACACGGCCCAGACUCCUACGGGAGGCAGCAGUGGGGAAUUUUGGACAAUGGGGGCAACCCUGAUCCAGCAAUGCCGCGUGAGUGAAGAAGGCCUUCGGGUUGUAAAGCUCUUUUGUCAGGGAAGAAACACCGGCUCUAACACAGUCCGGGAAUGACGGUACCUGAAGAAUAAGCACCGGCUAACUACGUGCCAGCCGCCGCCGUAA